rnacentral:rRNA from 1 species
AUUGAACGCUGGCGGCAGGCCUCACACAUGCAAGUCGAACGAGUGGCGGACGGGUGAGUGAUGUCUGGGAAACUGCCUGAUGGAGGGGGAUAACUACUGGUAACGGUAGCUAAUACCGCAUACCAUCAGAUGUGCCCAGAUGGGAUUAGCUAGUUGGUGGGGUAACGGCUAACCAAGGCGACGAUCCCUAGCUGGUAUGAGAGGAGGAACAGCCACACUGGAACUGAGAUGCGGUCCAGACUCCUACGGGAGGCAGGAGUGGGGCAUAUUGCACAAUGGGCGCAAGCCUGGUGCAGCCAUGCCGCGUAGAUGAAGAAGGCCUUCGGGUUUUAAAGUACUUUCAGCGGGGAGGCGUUACCCGAAGAAGAAGCACCAGCUAACUCUGUACCAGCAGCCGCGGUAAUAC